rfam:Felis catus isolate Cinnamon breed Abyssinian chromosome C1, whole genome shotgun sequence.
GCCUGGGUGGCUCAGUCUGUUAAGCAUCUGACUUCAGCUCAGGUCAUGAUUUCACGGUUCAUGGGUUCAAGCCCCACAUCAGGUU